rnacentral:rRNA from 1 species
CCUACGGGUGGCAGCAGUGGGGAAUAUUGGGCAAUGGGCGAAAGCCUGACCCAGCAACGCCGCGUGAAGGAAGACGGCUUUCGGGUUGUUAACUUCUUUUGACAGGGAAGAGCAGAUGACGGUACCUAUCGAAUAAGCCACGGCUAACUACGUGCCAGCAGCCGGGGUAAUACGUAGGUGGCAGGCGUUGUCCGGAUUUACUGGGUGUAAAGGGCGUGUAGCCGGGCUGGCAAGUCAGGUGUGAAAUCCGGGGGGUCAACCCCCGAACUGCAUUUGAAACUGGUGGUCUUGAGUAGCGGAGAGGCAGGCGGAAUACCUAGUGUAGCGGUGAAAUGCGUAGAUAUUAGGAGGAACACCAGUGGCGAAGGCGGCCUGCUGGACGACAACUGACGGUGAGGCGCGAAAGCGUGGGGAGCAAACAGGAUUAGAUACCCGUGUAGUC